rnacentral:rRNA from 1 species
GUAGGGGCCAAGCGUUAUCCGGAUUUAUUGGGGCGUAAAGAGCUCGUAGGCGGCUUGGCAAGUCGGUCGUGAAAGUCCGAGGCUCAACCUCGGGAAUGCCGGGUCGAAACUGCCAUGGCUAGGGUUCGGUAGAGGAGAGUGGAAUUCUCGGUGUAGCGGUGAAAUGCGCAGAUAUCGAGAGGAACACCAGCAGCGAAGGCGGCUCUCUGGGCCGAUACCGACGCUGAGGAGCGAAAGCGUGGGGAGCAAACAGGAUUAGAUACCCUGGUAGUCCACGCCGUAAACGGUGAUCACUAGGUGUGGCGGACUCAUUGACGUCUGCUGUGCCGGCGCUAACGCAUUAAGUGAUCCGCCUGGGGAGUACGGCCGCAAGGCU